rnacentral:rRNA from 1 species
AACGUAGGAGGCGAGCGUUAUCCGGAUUUACUGGGUGUAAAGCGCGUGCAGGCGGUUUGUUAAGUUGGAUGUGAAAGCUCCUGGCUCAACUGGGAGAGGUCGUUCAAGACUGGCAGACUGGAGAGCAGUAGGGGAAGAUGGAAUUCCGGGUGUAGUGGUGAAAUGCGUAGAUAUCCGGAGGAACACCAGUGGCGAAGGCGGUCUUCUAGACUGCAUCUGACGCUCAGACGCGACAGCUAGGGUAGCAAAC